rnacentral:rRNA from 1 species
CCUACGGCGGGCUGCAGUGGGGAAUAUUGCACAAUGGGCGCAAGCCUGAUGCAGCCAUGCCGCGUGUGUGAAGAAGGCCUUCGGGUUGUAAAGCACUUUCAGCGGGGAGGAAGGCGGUGAGGUUAAUAACCUCAUCGAUUGACGUUACCCGAAGAAGAAGCACCGGCUAACUCCGUGCCAGCAGCCGCGGUAAUACGGAGGGUGCAAGCGUUAAUCGGAAUUACUGGGCGUAAAGCGCACGCAGGCGGUCUGUCAAGUCGGAUGUGAAAUCCCCGGGCUCAACCGGGGAACUGCAUUCGAAACUGGCAGGCUAGAGUCUUGUAGAGGGGGGUAGAAUUCCAGGUGUAGCGGUGAAAUGCGUAGAGAUCUGGAGGAAUACCGGUGGCGAAGGCGGCCCCCUGGACAAAGACUGACGCUCAGGUGCGAAAGCGUGGGGAGCAAACAGGAUUAGAUACCCGUGUAGUC